CUCAAAGGAAUUGACGGGGACCCGCACAAGCGGUGGAUGAUGUGGUUUAAUUCGAUGCAACGCGAAAAACCUUACCCACCUUUGACAUGUACGGAAUCCUUUAGAGAUAGAGGAGUGCUCGAAAGAGAACCGUAACACAGGUGCUGCAUGGCUGUCGUCAGCUCGUGUCGUGAGGUGUUGGGUUAAGUCCCGCAACGAGCGCAACCCUUGUCAUUAGUUGCUACAUUCAGUUGGGCACUCUAAUGAGACUGCCGGUGACAAACCGGAGGAAGGUGGGGAUGACGUCAAGUCCUCAUGGCCCUUAUAGGUGGGGCUACACACGUCAUACAAUGGAUGGUACAAAGGGUCGCCAACCCGCGAGGGGGAGCCAAUCCCAUAAAGCCAUUCGUAGUCCGGAUCGCAGUCUGCAACUCGACUGCGUGAAGUCGGAAUCGCUAGUAAUCGUGGAUCAGAAUGUCACGGUGAAUACGUUCCCGGGUCUUGUACACACCGCCCGUCACACCAUGGGAGCGGGUUCUGCCAGAAGUAGUUAGCCUAACCGCAAGGAGGGCGAUUACCACGGCAGGGUUCGUGACUGGGGUGAAGUCGUAACAAGG
rnacentral:rRNA from 1 species